UCUAUUCAAUAGACGAAGGAUUGGAGGAAAGUAGUGGUCACUAAUUUGGCUUCUGAUCUGGGCCUCAACGUUAUUCUGUGUUUCAGAUAAUCACAUGUUAUCUAUGCAAAAAUAGUUACCAGGAUUUGCUUGGCCAUGUGUUUGAUUUGCAAUUCAGCCGUAGUGUGGUGCUGUUCUCUCGUUUAAACACUCGGGUGUCAGAAGUCGUUUAUGUGCAGUCAGCCUGGAUGUCUGGGAGAAGGAGGGUGUAUUCGGCGAAAUAUUGCCCUGCACGCGUUUUUGAUUCGUCCUCAUACAACAAUUUAUAUCUAUAGCAAAACAAACGUUGGAUCUGGGACCUUGGAAAUUAAAAAGUAUAUGCAUUGUAUCGGGAAAAAUGGAUUAUCCCACAAUGGAUUCAGAUACACUACGGCUAGGAAAAAGGUACGUCAGGAGCUCCAUUGUUUUCAUCGCUCUUUUACACUUUUCAUCUGGCGUAUCGCAUUAUUCAAUUCCUGAAGAAAUGAAAGAAGGAUCCGUUGUUGCCAAUCUGGCCGCAGAUUUGGACCUGGAUGUGGAAACGCUCAGUGAAAGAAAGAUGCGCCUGGAUAUUGUGGCGAACAAAAAAUAUUUGGAGAUGAACAAAGAGACUGGCGAACUGUAUAUUGUGGAGAAAAUCGACAGGGAACAUAUUUGCAACACAAAAUCGUCUAUUUCAUGCUAUUUAAAGCUAGAAAUCAUACUUGAAAAUCCCGUACGAAUAUUUAAUAUUGAAUUGGAAAUUUUGGAUAUAAACGACAAUGCCCCUCAAUUCCGUCGAGACUCAAUACGUUUGGACAUAACCGAGUCGACGACAGCAGGGGAAAGAUUCUCUUUGAGCAAUGCAGUAGACCCCGAUGUUGGAACGAACUCAGUCAAAACGUACUAUUUAAGUGAAAGCGAACAUUUUAAUAUCGAGGUACAAACUGGUAGGGAUGGGUCAAAGUUUGCAGAAUUAAUCUUAAAAAAGGCUUUGGACCGAGAGAAGCAGGCCGUUCAUCAUUUAGUUCUCAGCGCGGUUGACGGCGGUACACCGACCCGCUCCGGUACUGCCAGCGUGAUUGUUCACGUCCUGGACAUUAACGACAACACUCCUACAUUCCACAAGGAGGAAUAUAACAUAAAAGUCAUGGAAAACUCUCCGAUUGGAAGCCUCGUCGUUCAACUGAAUGCAACCGAUUUAGACGAGGGUUCAAACGCUGACAUAACGUACUCGUAUAGUCUGUACACCUCAGAGAAAACGCAAGAAAUGUUUAAUAUAAAUCCAUCUAACGGAGAGCUCACUGUAAAAGGCAUGUUAAACUAUGAGGAUUUCAGGAUUUAUGACAUGGAAAUCAUAGCUAUGGAUAAAGGGGCAAACGCACUAUCAGGACAGUGCAAAAUAAAAAUGUUAGUAGAAGACAUGAACGACAAUCACCCAGAGAUAUCUAUUAAAUCCUUUCAGAGUCCCAUCAAGGAGAAUGCUGAAUUAGGCACUGUAAUAGCAGUUGUUAGUAUAAGUGAUAAGGAUUCUGGUGAUAAUGGUCAAGUUGAUCUUACAAUUCAAGCUAAUUUACCGUUUAAACUAAAGGAGUCGUCAGGUAAUUUCUUUGAGUUAGUUGUCUCUGAAGCGCUAGACAGAGAAAAGGCUCCUGAAUAUGAAAUAACAUUCACAGUUACAGACAGAGGUUCUCCUCCAUUAUCUGAUAAUGAAACCAUGACCUUAGAGCUACUGGAUGUUAAUGAUAAUGUCCCCCAGUUCCCUCAGUCUUUCUAUACCAUACGUGUGAUGGAGAAUAAUGCUCCUGGAGCCUUGCUAGAUUCUCUCACUGCGUACGACCCAGACCUCCAUGAAAACCAGUAUCUAGUGUACUUCAUCAUAGAGAGGGAGAUAGCCAACGCCUCCAUGUCCAUGCUGUUCUCCAUUAGCCCAGAGAAUGGUAAACUCUAUGCUCUGAAAACAUUUGACCAUGAGAUUGAGAAGGAGUUUCUCUUCCACAUUGAGGCCAGAGACUCUGGUGUUCCUCCACUCAGCAGUAAUGUGACUGUCCACAUCAUUAUUGUGGACCAGAAUGACAACACUCCAGUCAUAGUGUCCCCAUGGCGCGCUCACGGCUCAGUGGUGGAGGAGAAGAUCCCCAGAUCCACUGACAAAGGCUUUCUGGUUUCCAAGGUGAUUGCUAUCGACGGCGACUCUGUGUUGAACUCAAGGAUUACCUACCAGUUUCUACAGGUGACGGACGCCACCUUGUUCAGUCUGGACCAGUACAACGGAGAGAUCCGGACCAUGAGAAUGUUCAGUUACAGAGAUCCCCGUCUCCAACGGCUUGUUGUGGUUGCCAAGGACAACGGAGAGCCCGCUCUCUCUGCUACCGUUACCAUCAAGCUGUCCACAGUGGAGACCGCGGUCAAGGCCUACUCAGACAUGAGCGAAGUGCCCCUAGAGUACGACAUCUUUUCAGACUUAAAUCUGUAUCUGGUCAUCGGCCUGGGCUCGGUGUCCUUCCUCUUGUUGAUCACCAUAUUGGUCACCAUCGUUCUCAAGUGUCAGAAACCCAAGUCCAGCAAAGCUGCUCCUCCCUGCAGGAACAGUGUGGUCAGUGAGAGGAACUCUUUUGCAGAUUCCACUCUGGUGUCCAACGAUGCCUACUGGUACAGCAUGUUUCUAGCGGAGACCAGGAAAGGGAAGCUGGUGGUUAGACAGCCAGCGCCAAAGGGCUCCAGGUACAUAGUGUCCAGUUUACCACGGAGCACUGGCCUCACAGAGACGAGCGGCUCAGCACCCUCCACGCUGCAGGUGAGGACCGCGGCAAACGAUUCAUGUGUUCAUCUGGGGAUUUCUAGCAUAUGUUCUGGCUCUUUAAACCAUUUCAUACAUUUUGUUUUUAAAAUUGAUGAAUUUCAUUGAAUGGUAUUUAUCCAUCAUCGUGGUGGAAAAUGCAAAACGCUUCAGUUUUAGUAAUUCAUAAUAAGUGGCACUAAAGGAAACGGCUCAGCACUGUUAAAUAUAUGCUAUACUAUUUAACAAACAAUUAUUUAUUGAUAUUCAUUAUUUCCGUUUACUUUGUUGUACGAAUUGAUGGGAAAUAGUAGCUCUUUCAACCAUUAUCUUCAUUUAAUUUGCACUGAAUUGCGGUCAUGCUUUAUCAUGACGUGUGCAUUCACAAUGCAACUUAAUUAUUUUUAAAUUUUAAAUAAAAUAUACCUGAAUUACAUACAUUUUACAAUAUAUAAUAUAUCAUAACGAUUAAAUUAACAAGAGAUUACAUGCUGAAUAUACCAGUAUAUUCCUGAGUUUAGUUCAAUGAAUGUAUGAGAUAUUAUGUCUUCGAAAUGAAGUGUCGUUUUGUUGAAUACAUUCACCAAAAAGAGAUUCAGGGUAGAAUCUGUGAGGAUGUACAUGCGUGUUCCUUGCAUAUAGAGCCGCUGUUCACCAUUUGAACACGUCUUAUGAGGUCAAAGCCACCGCUACACUUCCUCAGAGUGGACGCGACGAGCUGCGCAAGUGAACAGUUCCCGGUGCUAGAAUUUGGAUGUGGACAAUGUGGUUGUUUUGUGCAAGAUCUUUGGCGUAGAUUGGAGGAUUAUUUUGCACGUUUUACGUUGUAUAAACGAGGACAUCGCUACAAUGGGCCAAUGUGCAAGGGUUACAGGAGAUAAACAGAUUGCUAAAACGAUGGAGGCGAAAUGUUAUAUCCAGAGCUGGACUCGUAUCCUAAGUGAAGGACAUCGGCUCUGCAGCUGGAGGCGUCCACCACCAGCAGUAACAGUUCCACGUGAAGCCCCCCCGGUUAUGCCGAGCGGACCACCGGAGAGAGCGAGAGAGAGGAUGGAGGACCCUGCAGCCCUCAAACCUUAUCCCCCACCCUCCCCCAGAGGGUCUUGUAAAUACAUGACAAAAAUACUUGCGUGAUUGUCCAAUCCCAAGCUUGAUCGCUCCUAGCCGCCCUGCUUGUGUGACAUCGGUCUCCCUCCGUUUUCUAGCCCUCCAUCGUUGGCCUUCCUGAGCCCCCCCCCCCCCCCCCCCGAUAUGUUCUCUAUAAGCACAUGCUGAACCAAUCAACGUCAACAUGCAUGAUAACGAGCGCCAUGGCCAUAUAAGACUGCGUAAAACCCUGCCGGAAAUGGGACUUUACAGGACGCUGCAUCAAGCCACAACGUGGACUCAUAGUGUAGGUCCGCAGAAGAUCCUACAGGAAACCUUUUCCCCAUCGUGUGUAUGACUCACUCCUGUAUUAUAGCACUUAUAGAAAAAUGCUCAACAGUAAAUAGCAUAGGCAUCAACAAAAUGAUAUAUAUGUGUAAGUUAUUGGAAGGUAUAGUUAUUGGUGUUGUGUCGCUGUGAUCGAUUUGGGAUUGCUCUAUAUUUGAUGUUGUUUACGUGUGUGUAGGCUCUGAUGGUUUAGUGUUGAAGCUGUCUGCCUUUUUGAAAUACAUCAGCCAACAAAUAUGGAGGCGUUUUCUUUUUUUAUGAAUAAGUGAUGACAGUCAUGCCAUGCAUGUGGUUUUUAAGUGCUUUUGUAACUUUAUUUUGGGACCCGUUCCAUUUCAUACAAGUCUGGUGCGGUGUGAUAGUUAAGAUGCAGUGAGUUUUUGAAUUUGAUUGGAGCACAACAAGAAGUUAAUUUGGAAUACAAGAGACCCAAAGGACUUAACAGUAAAAGUAUUGUGGAAAGUUUAAUAGUAAAGGUAUUCUGAAAAGUUCAAUAGUUCUUAUGGAAUAGCCUACGACUACAAGUGUUUACGUAUUAUGAUCCUAUUGACUCGACAUAAUAACAACGGUAAACAAAGGAAGCAAUGCCAUUAAUAUAUCUGACUCACUGCCAAAUUUACCUUUUUUUGUGCCUACUAUGAUGUUUAAAAUGAGCACAAUGGUGUUGAUUAGUUUCCAGUGGCAUUAUAAAUUAUUGUUGGGAUGAUGUAGAAACCAAAUAAAUUCUGAACAAUGGUACUAAAACAAAUAGGCAACUCACAGAACCGUUCAUCUCCUACUGGGUAUAUGCUCUGUGUUAUGAAUUCAUGUAUCUAACUUCAAAAAUUACUCAUGUGUUUACGUUAUACCAAACAUUGAAAUUAUUGUGCAAUGAAAUGACUGGUAGCUGUAUUUACAACCUCAUGUUCUUAAAUCAGUUGGCUAACCCCCUGAAGUGAACCCCUAAGUGAUUUAUAUUAAAUUCAUUGCACAAUAAGACGCUGUAUUCUGUUUAACAACAGAUACGUGCUUUUGUACAUUGUCAUUUUUAAUGGUACAAUAUCUAGUACUUAUAGAGUGUGAUCAUAUUGUAUGCUAUGGUAAUCACAUUAUUAUAUACAGAAAACCAGACAAUUAUUGAAACGGUGCAUUUUGUGUCAUAUAGGUACAAACAGGUUCAUGUCAAUCUUGUGCGAAAUACUCUGAAUUAUGCCAUUAAACCCAUGCUGAGA